rnacentral:rRNA from 1 species
AUUGAACGCUGGCGGCAGGCUUAACACAUGCAAGUCGAACGAGUGGCGGACGGGUGAGUAAUGUCUGGGAACCUGCCUGAUGGAGGGGGAUAACUACUGGAAACGGUAGCUAAUACCGCAUACCAUCGGAUGUGCCCAGAUGGGAUUAGCUAGUAGGUGGGGUAAAGGCUCACCUAGGCAACGAUCCCUAGCUGGUCUGAGAGGGUGACCAGACACACUGGGACUGAGACACGGUCCAGACGCCUACGGGAUGAAGCAGUGGGGAAUAUUGGACAAUGGGGGCAACCCUGAUGCAGCCAUGCCGCGUGUAUGAAGAAGGCCUUCGGGUUGUAAAGUACUUUCAGCGGAGAGGCGUUAUCCGCAGAAGAAGCACCGGCUAACUACGUGCCAGCAGCCGCGGUAAUAC